rnacentral:rRNA from 1 species
UACGAAGGGGGCUAGCGUUGUUCGGAAUCACUGGGCGUAAAGGGCGCGUAGGCGGCUUUAUAAGUCGGGGGUGAAAUCCCCAGGCUCAACCUGGGAACUGCAUCCGAUACUGGAUGGCUUGAAUUCGGGAGAGGGAUGCAGAAUUCCAGGUGUAGCGGUGAAAUGCGUAGAUAUCUGGAGGAAUACCGGUGGCGAAGGCGGCAUCCUGGACCGACAUUGACGCUGAUGAGCGAAAGCUAGGGGAGCAAACGGG